rnacentral:tRNA from 1 species
UCCCUGGUGGCUCAGAUGGUAAAGAAUCUGCCUGCAAUGCAGGAGACCCCGGUUCAAUCCCUGGAUUGGGAA